rnacentral:rRNA from 1 species
GACGAACGCUGGCGGCGUGCUUAACACAUGCAAGUCGAACGGAAAGGCCCUGCUUGCAGGGUACUCGAGUGGCGAACGGGUGAGUAACACGUGGGUGAUCUGCCCUGCACUUCGGGAUAAGCCUGGGAAACUGGGUCUAAUACCGGAUAGGAGCCAUUUUUAGUGUGAUGGUUGGAAAGUUUUUUCGGUGUAGGAUGAGCUCGCGGCCUAUCAGCUUGUUGGUGGGGUAAUGGCCUACCAAGGCGGCGACGGGUAGCCGGCCUGAGAGGGUGGACGGCCACAUUGGGACUGAGAUACGGCCCAGACUCCUACGGGAGGCAGCAGUGGGGAAUAUUGCACAAUGGGCGCGAGCCUGAUGCAGCGACGCCGCGUGGGGGAUGACGGCCUUCGGGUUGUAAACUCCCUUCGCUAGGGACGAAGCUUUUUGUGACGGUACCUAGAUAAGAAGCACCGGCUAACUACGUG